rnacentral:rRNA from 1 species
UACGUAGGGUGCAAGCGUUUGUCCGGAUUUAUUGGGCGUAAAGAGCUCGUAGGCGGCUUGGCAAGUCAGGUGUGAAAACUUCAGGCUCAACCUGGAGAUGCCACCUGAGACUGCUAUGGCUUGAGUCCGGUAGGGGACCACGGGAAUUCCUGGUGUAGCGGUGAAAUGCGCAGAUAUCAGGAGGAACACCAGUGGCGAAGGCGGCUACCUGGACAGAUACUGACACUGAGGCGCGAGAGCGUGGGGAGCAAACAGG